GGAUAACAUCAACGCAGCUCACAGACAGGUUUAAACACAGGUCUGAAGUGCGCUAAGACGAAGACACCUGGAGUAUUGUUUAAUCAUCAGCCCUCAGGUUCACAGGAUAACAUCAACGCAGCUCACAGACAGGUUUAACACAGGUCUGAAGUGCGCUAAGACGAAGACACCUGGAGUAUUGUUUAAUCAUCAGAUGGCUCUUUGUACUGUAGCAACACUUCAGACUGCUACUCUUGGGUGUAUGUUGGUGUGUGUUCUUUCAUAUCUGUUUAUAAAAGGAAAUGUUGGAAGUCCUGAAGCCAACCCACUUCCCUCACAACAUACAAAGAGGUAAAGUAUCCAAUUGUCUGUGUGUGUGUGUGUGUGUGUGUGUGUGUGUGUGUGUGUGUGUGUGUGGGCGACAUGAGGCUGGGUUUCGGUUAUCAUUGGUUGGCACUAUGACUCAAUGUCCUGUUCAGGGGUGUAGUGCUAUUUGUAUAAGUAAUGAUCGAUUGAGACUGAGAUGACUUAGACUAAAGUGAACUAUCUAAACACUCAGAG